AGCUUUGCGCAGUGGCAGUAUCGUAGCCAAUGAGGUUUAUCCGAGGCACGAUUAUUGCUAAUUAAAAAUGGGUAGAAUAACUAAAUAGACAUUUCUGCGAAGAGAUCAGAUGGCCAACAGACACACGAAAAGGUGCUAAGCGUCUC